rnacentral:ncRNA from 1 species
CAGUUAUAAUUUGUUUGAUGAUAUCUAGUAUUCGGAUAACCGUAGUAAUUCUAGAGCUAAUAUGUGCAACAAACCCCGACUUUUGGAAGGGAUGCAUUUAUUAGCUAUAAGGUCGACGCGGGCUCUGCCCGUUGCUGCGAUGAUUCAUGAUAACUCGAUGGCGGCGACACAUCAUUCAAAUUUUUG